rnacentral:rRNA from 1 species
GACGGAGGAUGCAAGCGUUAUCCGGAAUGAUUGGGCGUAAAGCGUCCGCAGGUGGCAGUUCAAGUCUGCUGUCAAAGACCGGGGCUUAACUUCGGAAAGGCAGUGGAAACUGAACGGCUAGAGUAUGGUAGGGGCAGAGGGAAUUCCUGGUGUAGCGGUGAAAUGCGUAGAGAUCAGGAAGAACACCGGUGGCGAAGGCGGGUCUCUGGGCAGUAACUGACGCUGAGGAGCGAAAGCGUGGGGAGCGAACAGG